AAGCAAAUGGGAAAGAAAGAAGGACGCGAGGUUAGACCGCAGUCACUGCAAGACACAUCACUGCCCUCCCCCAAAGCUCAUGACCCCAUCCCCGGAGACCCUCUGAAACGACAGCAUCCUCGGCCAGAUCCUGGGGGGCACAAGAGCCAAGUCACCUCUCCCCGCCUCCAACCUGCCUCUGGCUGUGCUCUGUGUGUGUGACAAAGUGCUCAAUCUGACAAAAAGUCCUCCCCAAGCCCGAAGCCCGUGCCCAAGCUCCCCCGUAUUCCUUCCCGCUUGAACAUUCUGGGUGUCUGUCUGCUCUGUGGCAGUAAAUAUUUACCGAAUGAAUCAGCAGUUCUCCAAGUACAGCCCAGGACUAAGGAGACCGGGAGAUUAAAAACUAUUUUCAUAAUAAUAUGAAGUUGUUUUCAUUUCUAACACAGUUUAAAUAUCAAUAGCUACAACUCACGCAAAUAAAAGCUCUUUGGGAGAGGGGAGGUCUGCAAUAAUUUUAGGAAUUGCUGGAGAGAAUGAAUGAGAAAACGUCCGAGCACCUACUAGGAGGAAGGCAGGGUGCCAGGUGCUGUAGCAAACGGCCCCUGCUUAGAUCAGUGGGAGAGAUAAGAUCGUCGCUAAUAAGAAUUAUUAACCAGUGUUGUUCCAUUUUCUACUGGCAGCGUAGCAUAGUAGACUGCAUGACAGACUCGGGAGGGAGGAAGACUCAAAUUCGGCCUCAAACACGGGAGUAGCCGUGGGAUUCUGGGCAGAUCAUUUAAUCACUCCGAGCUUCAAUUUCCUCAUCUUUAAAAGGACGCAUGAUCGGCUCUCAAUCACCCUGACUUGCUCCACCUGCGUUUCAGACUUCAAGUGGUUCUCUGAAUCGAGGAAUUUUAGGCAUCCCGUCCUACCCACCAGACUACAUAUUCCCACGACUGGUCAGGGAGUGCCCAGAGAACAAGGGGGUGGCGUCCAAAGCCCGGGACAGGCUUGUUGGCACCUGGGCUGGGACAGGGGGCCUCUGAUGUGGGUCCUUUCCCCUAGGCAAACUUGACUUCCAGUUUCUCACGUCAAAAACCGCCAUUGGGACUCCCACCAGAGACAAGAGGCUCUGCAGAAACCUACGACACACAGAACAGGCUGCAGGGCCAGACAAGGAGGCUACUCCCUGCUCUCUCCACAAAAAUGUAUAAUUAGAACAGAGCUGGGCCGGCAGAGAGCCUUCUGGCCAAAAAUGGCAAAAGUGUGAAGUGUCCCAGCUGAGCCAGGCCAAGCCCACUGGCACCGUCAUCCCCCCACAC